rnacentral:rRNA from 1 species
UACAGAGGGGGCAAGCGUUGUUCGGAAUUACUGGGCGUAAAGGGCGCGUAGGCGGCCUUCUAAGUCGAACGUGAAAUCCCCGGGCUCAACGGCCGGAACUGCGUCCGAUACUGGGAGGCUUGAAUCCGGGAGAGGGAUGCGGAAUUCCAGGUGUAGCGGUGAAAUGCGUAGAUAUCUGGAGGAACACCGGUGGCGAAGGCGGCAUCCUGGACCGGCAUUGACGCUGAGGCGCGAAAGCCAGGGGAGCAAACGGG